rnacentral:rRNA from 1 species
AUUGAACGCUGGCGGCAGGCCUAACACAUGCAAGUCGGACGGUAGCACAGAGGAGCUUGCUCCUUGGGUGACGAGUGGCGGACGGGUGAGUAAUGUCUGGGGAUCUGCCCGAUAGAGGGGGAUAACCACUGGAAACGGUGGCUAAUACCGCAUAACGUCGCAAGACCAAAGAGGGGGACCUUCGGGCCUCUCACUAUCGGAUGAACCCAGAUGGGAUUAGCUAGUAGGCGGGGUAAUGGCCCACCUAGGCGACGAUCCCUAGCUGGUCUGAGAGGAUGACCAGCCACACUGGAACUGAGACACAGUCCAGACUCCUACGGGAGGCAGCAGUGGGGAAUACUGCACAAUGGGCGCAAGCCUGAUGCAGCCAUGCCGCGUGUAUGAAGAAGGCCUUCGGGUUGUAAAGUACUUUCAGCGGGGAGGAAGGCGGUGAGGUUAAUAACCUUGCCGAUUGACGUUACCCGCAGAAGAAGCACCGGCUAACUCCGUGCCAGCAGCCGCAGUAA